rnacentral:rRNA from 1 species
GCAUAUCAAUAAGCGGAGGAAAAAGAAACCAACAGGGAUUGCCCUAGUAACGGCGAGUGAAGCGGCAACAGCUCGAAUUUGAAAUCUGGCUCCCUUUGGGGGUCCGAGUUGUAAUCUGCAGAGGAUGCUUCGGGCGAGGUUCCCACCGAGUUCCCUGGAACGGGACGCCACAGAGGGUGAGAGCCCCGUAUGGUGGGAGGCCAAGCCUGUGUGAAGCUCCUUCGACGAGUCGAGUAGCUUGGGAAUGCUGCUCUAAAUGGGAGGUAGACUUCUUCUAAAGCUAAAUACCGGCCAGAGACCGAUAGCGCACAAGUAGAGUGAUCGAAAGAUGAAAAGCACUUUGAAAAGAGGGUCAAACAGUACGUGAAAUUGUUGAAAGGGAAGCGCCUAUGGCCAGACUUGCGCCGGGCCGAUCAUUCAGCGGUCUCCGCUGGUGCACUCGGCCCGUUGCAGGCCAGCGUCGGCUGUCCUGGGGGGAUAAAAGCAGUGGGAACGUAGCUCCCUCCGGGGAGUGUUAUAGCCCGCUGCACAAUACCUCCGGGGCGGCCGAGGUCCGCGCCCUCGUGGCAAGGACGCUGGCGUAAUGGCCAUCAGCGACCCGUCUUGAAACACGGACCAAGGAGUCGAGGUUUUACGCGAGUGUUCGGGUGUCAAGCCCCAGCGCGUAAUGAAAGUGAACGUAGGUGGGAGCCUUCGGGCGCACCAUCGACCGAUCCUGAUGUCUUCGGAUGGAUUUGAGUAAGAGCGUAAAGCCUCGGACCCGAAAGAUGGUGAACUAUGCCUGUAUAGGGUGAAGCCCAGAGGAAACUCUGGUGGAGGCUCGCAGCGGUUCUGACGUGCAAAUCGAUCGUCAAAUAUGGGCAUGGGGGGCGAAAGACUAAUCGAAACCAUCUAGUAGCUGGGUUACCGCCGA